rnacentral:rRNA from 1 species
UACGUAGGGUGCAAGCGUUGUCCGGAAUUAUUGGGCGUAAAGGACGCUCGUGAGCGGUGUGUCGCGUCUGCUGUGAAAACUCAGGGCUCAACUCUGAGCUUGCAGUGGGUACGGGCACACUAGAGUGCUGUAGGGGAGACUGGAAUUCCUGGUGUAGCGGUGAAAUGCGCAGAUAUCAGGAGGAACACCGGUGGCGAAGGCGGGUCUCUGGGCGAGUUAAUGACGCUGGAGGAGCGAAAGCAUGGGGAGCGAACAGG